UAAUGAAUUGAUGAGAGAUACAGUGAAGAUGAAAUGUCCGUCACAAAAUACUGCUUUUACAAAAGCAGAAUAAAAGAAAAGAAAUGAAAAAC
rfam:Otolemur garnettii contig147648, whole genome shotgun sequence.